UACGAAGGGGGCUAGCGUUGCUCGGAAUUACUGGGCGUAAAGCGCACGUAGGCGGCUUUCUAAGUCGGGGGUGAAAUCCUGGAGCUCAACUCCAGAACUGCCUUCGAUACUGGAAGCUCGAGUCCGGGAGAGGUGAGUGGAACUGCGAGUGUAGAGGUGAAAUUCGUAGAUAUUCGCAAGAACACCAGUGGCGAAGGCGGCUCACUGGCCCGGAACUGACGCUGAGGUGCGAAAGCGUGGGGAGCAAACAGG
rnacentral:rRNA from 1 species